UCGAGAAUAGUCUACAAUGGUCGAAAGACUGAUAGUGCGACGCCGCGUGAACGAAGAAUCCCUUCGGGGUGUAAAGUUCUUUUUUAAUUGAGCAAUGCCUUUUAUGUGAUAAGCAUGAGAGGAGAGAUAUUAGGUUAAGAAUAAGCAACGGCUAACUACGUGCCAGCAGCCGCGGUAAUACGUAGGUCGCAAGCGUUACUCGGAAUCACUGGGCAUAAAGGGCGUGUAGGCGGACGCGUAAGUCCGGUGUGAAAUCCCUCGGCUCAACCGAGGAUGGCCAUUGGAUACUGCGUGUCUAGAGUGUGGGAGGGGAGAGUGGAACUCUUGGUGGAGCGGUGAAAUGCGUAGAUAUCAAGAGGAACGCCGGUGGCGAAAGCGGCUCUCUGGCCCAUUACUGACGCUGAGGCGCGAAAGCUAGGGGAGCAAACG
rnacentral:rRNA from 1 species